UAAACUUGGAGACACAGAGCCAGCUCCAAAUCUCUGGAGACAGCAGAUGGGGCACAAGUUUAGGAGGAAUCAGAGGCCCGUCUCCUGGACCCUAACGUGUGCUCUGCUACAGGCUGCUGCCCAGCGGGGCACCCUUGCAACAGGAAGCGGUCAUGCGCAGUUCGAGCGCCCAUGAGCCAUGGAGCCAGCAUGGGCACACUGGUUCCCUAAUGACCUCUGCUGAACAUCCUUUCAGCUGCUUGGCUGCCGACUUGUAUUUUCUUUGGUGAGGUGUCAUUUUAAAUACUAUGCCCAUUUUUAAGAGGGUAGGUUGUUUUCAUUUUUGAAAUAUUUACUUUUCAACUUGUUGACGUACAUUAUAUUGGUUCCAGGUAUACAACCCAGUGAUUAGACAUUCACGUAACUUGCAGAGUGAUCACCUUGGUAAAU